GGAGCAAACAGGAUUAGAUACCCUGGUAGUCCACGCUGUAAACGAUGAGUGCUGAAUGUGGGGGCUUUUGCCUCUGUGUUGUAGCUAACGCGUUAAGCACUCCGCCUGGGGACUACGGUCGCAAGACUAAAACUCAAAGGAAUUGACGGGGACCCGCACAAGCGGUGGAGCAUGUGGUUUAAUUCGAUGCAACGCGAAAAACCUUACCACUUCUUGACAUGGAGGCUAGAUCUUUCUUAACAGAAAGGCGCAGUUCGGCUGGACCUCACACAGGUGCUGCAUGGCUGUCGUCAGCUCGUGUCGUGAGAUGUUGGGUUAAGUCCCGCAACGAGCGCAACCCUCAUCCUUAGUUACCAGCGGGUAAUGCCGGGCACUUUAAGGAAACUGCCGGUGAUAAACCGGAGGAAGGUGGGGAUGAUGUCAAGUCAGCACGGCCCUUAUGGGGUGGGCUACACACGUGCUACAAUGAAGACUACAAUAGGUUGCAACGUCGCAAGGCUGAGCUAAUCCGUAAAAGUCGUCUCAGUUCGGAUUGUCCUCUGCAACUCGAGGGCAUGAAGUCGGAAUCGCUAGUAAUCGUGGAUCAGCAUGCCACGGUGAAUACGUUCUCGGGUCUUGUACACACUGCCC
rnacentral:rRNA from 1 species